rnacentral:rRNA from 1 species
UACGUAGGGUGCGAGCGUUAAUCGGAAUUACUGGGCGUAAAGCGUGCGCAGGCGGUUUUGUAAGCCAGAUGUGAAAUCCCCGGGCUUAACCUGGGAAUGGCAUUUGGGACUGCAAGGCUUGAGUGCGGCAGAGGAGACUGGAAUUCCUGGUGUAGCAGUGAAAUGCGUAGAGAUCGGGAGGAACACCAGAGGCGAAGGCGGCUAGCUGGACAAUUACUGACACUCAACUACGAAAGCGUGGGUAGCAAACAGG